rnacentral:rRNA from 1 species
GGACUACUCGGGUAUCUAAUCCUGUUCGCUCCCCACGCUUUCGUGCCUCAACGUCAGGUAUGAGCCAAGAAGCUGCCUUCGCCAUCGGUGUUCCUCCCGAGAUCCACGCAUUUUACCGCUACUCCGGGAAUUCCACUUCUCUCUCUCACCCUCUAGUUUGCCAGUUUUCAUUGCAAUACUCCAGUUAGGCCGGAGCCUUUAACAACGAACUUAACGAACCGUCUACGCACCCUUUACGCCCAGUGAUUCCGAAUAACGUUUGCACCCUUCGUAUUACCGCGGCUGCUGGCAC